GACGAACGCUGGCGGCGUGCUUAACACAUGCAAGUCGAGCGGUAAGGCCCUUUCGGGGGUACGACGAGCGGUGAGCGGGUGAGUAACACGUGGGUGACCUGCCCUCAGCUCUGGGAUAAGCCUGGGAAACCGGGGUCUAAUACCGGAUAUGACUCCAUGACGCAUGUUGUGGGGUGGAAAGCCUUGUGCGGCUGAGGAUGGGCCCGCGGCCUAUCAGCUUGUUGGUGGGGGAUGGCCUACCAAGGCGACGACGGGUAGCCGGCCUGAGAGGGCGACCGGCCACACUGGGA
rnacentral:rRNA from 1 species